UACGUAGGGUGCAAGCGUUAAUCGGAAUUACUGGGCGUAAAGCGUGCGCAGGCGGUUUUGUAAGUCUGUCGUGAAAUCCCCGGGCUCAACCUGGGAACUGCAUUCGAGACUGCAUGGCUAGAGUAUCGGAGAGGGAAGUGGAAUUUCAGGUGUAGCGGUGAAAUGCGUAGAUAUCUGAAGGAACAUCAGUGGCGAAAGCGACUUCCUGGCCUGUUCUUGACGCUGAGGCGCGAAAAGCUAGGGGGAGCAAACGGGG
rnacentral:rRNA from 1 species